UCGAGGCCCCUGGCUUGUAAUAUAAAACUUGUAUUAUUUCAUUUGGUGUCUAGAGUUGUGUUGUGAUAUCUUCCCGUGAGUCCCUGAUCUUGAUCGUACACAUUUGCGUGUAUGAUUAAUGUACGAUUAAAUCGGGGGCGUCACUUCCGAUCUUCAGAUCUUCCGAUCUUCAGAUCUCCAUAUUUGGUGACUGCGGUGUUUUGAUAUUUCGUUGGAUUACUAUCUGUAUUUGGGGAUUAGCUAUGAAUUAAUGUUUUUACUUCGAGCAUGGAUAGUCGGCAGUACUGAUUUAGGUCUUUUUGUUGAACAGAAUGAUUAGCUCGUCUAUUUCUGGAGAACUGCACUAUAGAUGAUAUAUUUAUGAACGAUCUUAACACUGAAAAUGCAAAAUUUCUGGAAAAUUCCCAGGGAUUUGAUUGACGGAUGCAUCAAUAUUUGACGUUGGAUUAUCCAUUUUUGCAGCACUAGCAAUGUUGUUUUUGUUUGGAAUGGCCAGUUCUCAAUUUCUAUUCUGUUAUCAACGAUAUUGUACUUCUUGUCAGGUUACAUUAUCUUACUUGGUUUCAGUGUAUAUGUAGCACAAAAAUAGGCAACAUGGUUGUUUCAUGCUCGAUUUGGUUUGUAGGUUACACUAAGGAACACCAUCAUAAGGAAAAGGGCAUUGCACUGCGUUCUUUAUAAUUGGCCUGUUACUAUUCGGUCUGCUGUAGUACUUAAUUGCUACACCAUUUCAAGUUAUGUAGUCUAAAAUAACCCUUUCAAAUGAACCUUUUUAAUUGAUAUUCAGAGCAUCAACAUGGUGGACUAGAUCAUGAAAUCAACUAUGAUCAUGAGAACUUGAAGCUAUUUGUUGACUAAAUUGUCAAUUGUUUUGCGUGAAUUGAAACUGGCAGUGUGAUGACAUUACUGUAGAUGCCUUGCUAUAUACAUUUGCCUAAUCCUCUCUCUCUCUAAUAUGUUCUCUUUUGUGAAGAUCCUUCGCAGAUCAAUUGGUGAGGCAGAAUGCUAAGCAUUGUUUCACAUUCAGGUUUGCUAUCAAACUCUCAAAAAGGAAAAACAACUUUACUCUGUUUUUUGGAGAACCUUCCUGUAGAGUACCUCGACAGAGACAAAUAUGCGAUCAAGGAUAUAUUCGAUGGAUUUUCAUGCAAAAUUUGGAGGAUAUUUUUGCAGAUAGUUUGGUGCUCUCAUGGUUAUUUUGUAGUGAUUUUCCUUCUGUUCAUUACUUGGUAACCAUCUACGGCAGCUCAGCUAUUGUCCAGCUGCUGACCUUGGUGAGUGAUUGAUGGUGCAUGUUUUUCUAUUAGUUUCUCUCUAUGCCAAUGUCUGAAUUUUAUCUUGCCGUUUUGCAUUUCUCCAGGCCUUUCAAUCUCACUGUGAUUCCCCGAGAUGCGCUAUUAGUAGGCAUCCACUUUGUAAUAAAAAUUUGGCAGUCAACCUGAAACGAGUCAUUUAUCUAGCUACAGCAACCUUCCUUGCUUUUGCAAAUAAUACUGUAUGGUUGACACUAUAGUCUAUACCUGCCAAAUAUUUACACGUUAGUAUAGC